GGGGUUGUUUGGUUUUGACAGCGGGUAGAAGGAAUGUGUAAGCAUGCAGUGCAUCGUGUGAUUGGCACUUUAAUCUCAGUCCUCAAAAAAUUAAUUGGCGAGAAUAACUACGCUCUUGCUGCUUGAUCGAAGAUCAGUAAAUCGAGCUUAAUCCUGGCACUAGGUGCUGGGACAAGACAUCACUCAGGAACUCUUGCUCCGAAGUAGCCUGAUCAAGUGGUGCAGUCAAAUCGGGGAUAGUCUCCACGGGCCUUGACGUGCGGAUGAAUUUUUAAAGGAUAAGGCGUAGAUUGGCUGUCUUGGGUCUGUCUGCGCUCGAAAACCAAUCCAAGAAUAAGCAUGUAGAAAGCUCAUUUGUUCCUCGUUUGGACGCGGGUUCGACUCCCGCCAGCUCCAC
rnacentral:tmRNA from 1 species